GAUGAACGCUGGCGGCGGGCUUAACACAUGCAAGUCGAACGGAAAGAUGCUGCUUGCUUGGGGUGCCUGAUGGGGGAACGGGUGAGGAACCGUUGAGUAACCUGCCCUUGACUUUGGGAUAACGUUAGGAAACCGGGGCUAAUACCGAAUACGAGCUCCUGCUGCAUGGUGGGGGUUGGAACGAUUAGGAGGAUGGGGAUGUACUCGCGGCUUACCAGCUUGUUGGUGGGGUAGGUGCUUACGAAGGCCUCGACGGGUAGUCGGCCUGAGAGGGUGACCGGGCACAUUAGGACUGAGCUACGGCCCAGAGUAGUAUGGAAGACAGCAGUGGGGAAUAUUGCACAAUGGGCCGAAGCCUGAUGAAGCAACGCCGCGUGAGGGAUGACGGCCUUCGGGUUGUAAACCGCUUUAAGCUGUGACGAAGCGUGAGUGACGGUAAUGGAUGAAGAAGCACCGGCUAACUACGUG
rnacentral:rRNA from 1 species